UGCCAGCCGCCGCGGUAAUACGGAGGGGGGUAGCGUUGUUCGGAAUUACUGGGCGUAAAGCGCACGUAGGCGGAUUAGAAAGUUAGAGGUGAAAUCCCAGGGCUCAACCCUGGAACUGCCUUUAAAACUCCUAGGCUUGAGUUCGAGAGAGGUGAGUGGAAUUCCAAGUGUAGAGGUGACAUUCGUAGAUAUUAGGGAGAACAUCAGUGGCGAAGGCGACUCACUGGUCCGAUACUGACGCUGAGGUGCGAAAGCGUGGGGAGCAAACAGGAUUAGAUA
rnacentral:rRNA from 1 species